rnacentral:rRNA from 1 species
AGCAGCCGCGGUAAUUCCAGCUCCAAUAGCGUAUAUUAAAGUUGUUGCAGUUAAAAAGCUCGUAGUUGAAUUUCGGGAUUCUACCGUUGGUCGGGCUAUCCAGUCUGUACUAGCGUGUAGAAUUCCUACCUUCUGGGGAACCAUCAUGUUAUUAAUUUAGCGUGGUGGGAAACCAGGACCUUUACCUUGAAAAAAUUAGAGUGUUCAAAGCAGGCUUACGUCUGAAUACAUUAGCAUGGAAUAAUAGAAUAGGACGGUGGUCCUGUUUUGUUGGUUUCUGAAUCACCGUAAUGAUUAAUAGGGAUAGUUGGGGGCAUUAGUAUUCAAUUGUCAGAGGUGAAAUUCUUGGAUUUAUUGAAGACUAACUUCUGCGAAAGCAUUUGCCAAGGAUGUUUUCAUUAAUCAAGAACGAAAGUUAGGGGAUCGAAGACGAUCAGAUACCGUCGUAGU